AGUGAGGGGUGUAAACCCUAACCCUCAAGAAACCAUCAAAUUGAAGAAGGAUUUCAGCCUAAACUAAUGCAUGAACACGUUUUCUUGAUGAUCUAGCCCUAUUAAACAUGUGGAUAGGGAUCACAUUAGCAUGGACUCAAGAACGGAACGCUAACGGGUCAUGAGGAGGUGAGGAAGCAAGCUUGAACACGAACGCUUAAGGUUAUACGGAUAACGGGCGGAUUAUCACAAGAAUUAGAGAUCGAAGACCGAGUCACGAGCUAGAUUGUACGGGAAUAAUUAAGUAUGUACUAUUAGUAAAC